CCCAACUAUCCCUAUUAAUCAUUACGUCAAUCCUAGAAACCAACAAAAUAGGAUCGAACGUCCUAUUUCAUUAUUCCAUGCUAAUGUAUUCAAGCGUUAGCCUGCUUUAAACACUCUAAUUUUUUCAAAGUAACAGUCCUGUUUCCCUGCAACACCAAAUUAAUGACAUUACAGUUCUUCAAGAAGGAGGAAUCAGUAAAGCCAGUACAUACCAUAGGCACGACCAACCUACUGACCCCCCAAUUCAACUACGAGCUUCUUCACUGCACCAACUUGAAUAUACGCUAUUGGAGCCGGAAUUACCGCGGCUGCUGGCACCAGACUUGCCCUCCAA
rnacentral:misc_RNA from 1 species